AGUAUUCGCGUUUUUGAAAUUAGUGUUGCGACAAAAAAUAAUCGCGUUUUUGAAAGUAGUGUUGCGUUGAAAAAUGAUCGCGUUUUUGAAAGUAGUGUUGCGUU